ACUAUACAAGGAACAUAAUGUGGCCUCACCUUUCAUAUUCUAACAAAUUAUAUAUGCACCGACCGUUCCUAGAGCAAAUGGCAAAAGACUUGAUGGUUGGUAUCCAGACCCAAGUUCGAAUCCUAGUUGAUUUAUAUUUUUAGCUAAGUUUAUUUCUAAAUAAAAUAAACGAAGCGGGUAGCAUGCUACCUAUCUCUUAAAAAAAAAAAAAAUUAUAUAUGCAUGCAG
rnacentral:lncRNA from 1 species